GGGCUCAUUAUUUUCUGGUUAAGAGUGUGGUGCUGAUAAUGCCAAGGUUUGCAGGUUCGAUCCCCGCGUGGGACA